ACGCUGGCGGCGUGCUUAACACAUGCAAGUCGAACGGAAAGGCCCUGCUUUUGUGGGGUGCUCGAGUGGCGAACGGGUGAGUAACACGUGAGUAACCUGCCCUUGACUUUGGGAUAACUUCAGGAAACUGGGGCUAAUACCGGAUAGGAGCUCCUGCUGCAUGGUGGGGGUUGGAAAGUUUCGGCGGUUGGGGAUGGACUCGCGGCUUAUCAGCUUGUUGGUGGGGUAGUGGCUUACCAAGGCUUUGACGGGUAGCCGGCCUGAGAGGGUGACCGGCCACAUUGGGACUGAGAUACGGCCCAGACUCCUACGGGAGGCAGCAGUGGGGAAUAUUGCACAAUGGGCGGAAGCCUGAUGCAGCAACGCCGCGUGCGGGAUGACAGCCUUCGGGUUGUAAACCGCUUUCGCCUGUGACGAAGCGUGAGUGACGGUAAUGGGUAAAGAAGCACCGGCUAACUACGUGCCAGCAGCCGCGGUGAUACGUAGGGUGCGAGCGUUGUCCGGAUUUAUUGGGCGUAAAGGGCUCGUAGGUGGUUGAUCGCGUCGGAAGUGUAAUCUUGGGGCUUAACCCUGAGCGUGCUUUCGAUACGGGUUGACUUGAGGAAGGUAGGGGAGAAUGGAAUUCCUGGUGGAGCGGUGGAAUGCGCAGAUAUCAGGAGGAACACCAGUGGCGAAGGCGGUUCUCUGGGCCUUUCCUGACGCUGAGGAGCGAAAGCGUGGGGAGCGAACAGGCUUAGAUACCCUGGUAGUCCACGCUGUAAACGGUGGGUACUAGGUGUGGGGUCCAUUCCACGGGUUCCGUGCCGUAGCUAACGCUUUAAGUACCCCGCCUGGGGAGUACGGCCGCAAGGCUAAAACUCAAAGGAAUUGACGGGGCCCCGCACAAGCGGCGGAGCAUGCGGAUUAAUUCGAUGCAACGCGUAGAACCUUACCUGGGUUUGACAUGGAUCGGGAGUGCUCAGAGAUGGGUGUGCCUCUUUUGGGGUCGGUUCACAGGUGGUGCAUGCCUGUCGUCAGCUCGUGUCGUGAGAUGUUGGGUUAAGUCCCGCAACGAGCGCAACCCUUGUUCACUGUUGCCAGCUCGUUAUGGUGGGGACUCAGUGGAGACCGCCGGGGUCAACUCGGAGGAAGGUGGGGAUGACGUCAAGUCCUCAUGCCCCUUAUGUCCAGGGCUUCACGCAUGCUACAAUGGCUGGUACAGAGAGUGGCGAGCCUGUGAGGGUGAGCGAAUCUCGGAAAGCCGGUCUCAGUUCGGAUUGGGGUCUGCAACUCGACCUCAUGAAGUCGGAGUCGCUAGUAAUCGCAGAUCAGCAACGCUGCGGUGAAUACGUUCCCGGGGCUUGUACACACCGCCCGUCAAGUCAUGAAAGUUGGUAACACCCGAAGCCGGUGGCCUAACCGUUGUGGGGGAGCCGUCGAAGGUGGGACUGGUGAUUAGGACUAAGUC
rnacentral:rRNA from 1 species